CAAUAGCGUAUAUUAAAGUUGUUGCAGUUAAAAAGCUCGUAGUCAGAUUUUGACACCAUGCCGAACUGUCUGCCGAUUGGUAUGCACGGUUUGGCGGGUGCUUCCUUCCGGAAGCCCGCGUUCUUCUUCACUGAAGAGCGUGGUGAGUCCGGAUCAUUUACUUUGAAAAAAUUAGAGUGUUCAAAGCAGGCGUUUGCUGUGAAUACAUUAGCAUGGAAUAAUAAGAUAGGACUUUGGUACUAUUUUGUUGGUUUGCAUACCGAGGUAAUGAUUAAUAGGAACGGUUGGGCCUGUUCGUAUUCAGAUGUCAGAGGUGAAAUUCUUGGAUUUUCGGAAGACGAACUACUGCGAAAGCAUUCGCCAAGGAUGUUUUCAUUAAUCAAGAACGAAAGUUAGGGGAUCGAAGACGAUCAGAUACCA
rnacentral:rRNA from 1 species